rfam:Candidate division TA06 bacterium 34_109 MPJ_scaffold_0, whole genome shotgun sequence.
GGAGGAUUAGUCUAACUGGUAAGGCAGCGGAUUUGAAAUCCGCCGGGUGAUGAGCCCUUGGGGGUUCGAGUCCCUCAUCCUCCG